GCGGUGCAUGCCGGGCGCGCCUUCCCGCCGUGACGCUGCAGAUAGCAGGCCGGCGCCACUACCGUCACCCGUCAGCGCGGGCUCCGCCGCCGCCCGGCGAGGAUGGUGGGUGUGAAGGUGAUCGCGAACGACACCGAGUUCCAGCCUGAGCUCAGCGCUGCCGGCUCCCGCCUGACCGUGGUGAAGUUCACCAUGCGGGGAUGUGGCCCUUGUUUAAGGAUAGCUCCAGCUUUCAAUGCUCUGAGUAACAAAUAUCCCCAGGCAACAUUUUUGGAAGUAGAUGUGCAUCAAUGCCAGGGAACAGCUGCUACCAAUAAUAUAUCAGCAACACCGACAUUUCUGUUUUUCCGAAACAAAGUGCGAAUCGACCAAUAUCAAGGAGCAGAUGCUGUAGGUUUAGAAGAAAAAAUUAAACAGCACCUGGAGAAUGAUCCUGGAAACAGUGAAGAUACAGAUAUCCCAAAAGGAUAUAUGGAUUUAAUGCCAUUUAUCAAUAAAGCUGGCUGUGAAUGUCUUAAUGAGAGUGAUGAGCAUGGAUUUGAUAAUUGUUUACGUAAAGACUCUACUUACUUGGAAUCAGACUGUGACGAGCAGCUGCUCAUUACUGUAGCUUUUAGUCAGCCUGUCAAGCUUUAUUCUAUGAAACUUCAGGGGCCAGAUAAUGGGCAAGGUCCAAAAUACAUAAAAAUCUUUAUCAACCUUCCUCGAUCUAUGGAUUUUGAAGAAGCAGAAAGAAGUGAACCAACUCAAGCCCUGGAGCUGACACCAGAUGAUAUUAAAGAUGAUGGUAUCGUCCAGCUUCGCUAUGUAAAAUUUCAGAAUGUUAACAGUGUAACUUUGUUUGUCCAAUCCAAUCAUGGUGAUGAAGAAACAACAAGAAUUACAUACUUCACGUUUAUUGGAACUCCGGUCCAAGCGACAAAUAUGAAUGACUUCAAGCGAGAUUUUGCGUUCAGUUUUCUUAACGAAGGGGACUGGAUACCCUUCUGCAGUGAACUACGCUAACUUUAAACCUGCGUAGCAGCAUUGCAGAGUGCUGGAGUUGCACUUGCUGUUGGCUGGCAAAUCGACUCACCAAAGUCUGGUUGCAGUGGUGAUCUUUUCAGAAAAGGGAAGCAGUAAGCUGACUCUGAUUCCAGGUGGAGUUUACAGGAUUGGAGAUUGGAAGGAGACUUGGUAGUUGGCAAAAAGGGAGAAAGCCACUAGGAUGCAAAAGACACUGGAAGGCCUUAUCGCAAUCAAAGAGAUCUUCACUUUUAUCUACAACUCCUGGAUAAUUGCUUGACCAUAACCAGAGACGUCAAUCUGUUUCAUUUAAUGCCAUUACCAAUAAACCAUUGCUUUUGUUGAGAUGGAGUUUCCCUAGUGUUUCUGUUGUAAUCCUCGUAUGUGUAUUUGUAAAUAAAAUUCAUUACUUUUGCCAAGUUUAA